rnacentral:lncRNA from 1 species
UAGCUAACUAUAUUUAUUACGCCUUAUCUAAACCAGUAAUAUAACAACUUUAUAUUUGACAGACCAAAUCAUGUUCUACACGAUAAUAUAGAACACAAUACAUGUUAUACACAAAACACUAUACACUAUAUAGUUUAUUCAUUGAGUCCUGCUCAUAUUGAUGACAGUUAUCUGUACAAUAAUCAUAUCACAUGUAUUCCUCUCUCAGACCCAAACGCCAAAUGUCAAUACUCUCAUUCAAUUGAAAGACCAGAUCAUACUCUAACCUCGAUGAAACAACACAUUCAUUCUCAAUCUGCCAAAAUGAUUCAGAGCAUAACCUUACAUAUACUGUAUCAUUUUGAAUAAAACUUAUCUGGUAAAAUACUGUAUCAUUUUGAAUCAAUCUAAUAUGGCAAAAUAUUAGUGCUUAUACCAAGUCUCUUCUUUGAGAGGGUUCUUAGUUCGUUCUUAAUCUGAG